GAAAACUAAACAAAAGAGUCAGAGCCAACGUCCGCGUCAAACCAGCUGGCAAAAGCCACUGCGUCUGCCACCCAGAGAGGUGGGUCUUUGGCCCUUGGCGGAGGAGUUACAUUGGGCAUCGUCAGGGGGACAGAGGAAAAGUGACAUCCUAGGAGCCACCGGGCAAGAGGAAGAAGAGACCCAGAGAGGCAAGAGAGACAGCUGCCCCGCGUGCUUUGAAGCUGGGCACCAGCAGUGGGACUGGAACCAAGUCAGCGACCUGCCAAGGAGGAAGCCGCAGGCAGCCAGAGGGCAGCAGGUGCGAGGACAGCUCUGCUGCAGGGCUGGCCCCGUGGCCUCGUGCCCAAGCUCCUUGCCAGCCUUCCUGGCUUUGCAGGGCCCGGGCACACCCCUGCAGCCUUCCAGGGAGGAGGCUCCAGGCGCCCCUCUAAAGACCCCAUCUUCUCUCACCUUCUCAGCAUCGCCCUGGUCCUCUGGCUUGGAGGCUCCGGUUGGAUGGGGGAGCUAUUCCACCAAGGCUUCUCUCCUUCGAAUUUUUUUCCUUCACCCUCUACUGCACUCCUGACUUUCCUCCCAGGCUGUUUCUUGCCUCUGGAGCCAAAAUUGGAUUGAGAAUUUGGGGUGCAGAGUAGGGAGAUGCCUGCUCCACCGUGCAUUCCUCUGCUUGCUCAGUGCCUGUGGCUUGUGGCCUCCAGGGACAGAAUCCAGUGGGCCUUGGGACGCUGAAGUGUGAGGCAUGUCCAAACCUGGGCUGCAGGCUGUCUGUGGGCAAGCCACUGGAGUUCAGCCUUGAUCACCAAGGUGGGUAAAGCCUCCCAGGAAAUGGAUGAAGUAUUGUUUCUAAAAGGAUCCCCUUCUG
rnacentral:lncRNA from 1 species